rnacentral:rRNA from 1 species
AGUGAACGCUGGCGGUAGGCCUAACACAUGCAAGUCGAACGGCAGCACAGGAGAGCUUGCUCCCUGGGUGGCGAGUGGCGGACGGGUGGGGAAUACAUCGGAAUCUACUCUGUCGUGGGGGAUAACGUGGGGAAACUUACGAUAAUAGCGCAUACGACCUACAGGUGAAAGCAGGGGACCUUCGGGCCUUGCGCGAUUGUAUGAGCCGAUGUCGGAUUCGCUAGUUGGCGGGGUAAGGGGCCACCAAGGCGACGAUCCGUAGCUGGUCUGAGAGGAUGAUCGGCCACACUGGGAGUGAGGGACGGUCGAGACUCCUAGGGGAGGCAGCAGUGGGGAAUAUUGGGCAAGUGGCGGAAGCCGGAUCCAGCCAUACCGCGUGGGUGAAGAAGGCCUUCGGGUUGUAAAGCCCUUUUGUUUGGAAAUAAAUCCAGCUGGCUAAUACCCGGUUGGGAUGACGGUACCCAAAGAAUAAGCACCGGCUAACUUCGUGCCAGCAGCCGCCGUAA